rnacentral:rRNA from 1 species
GAUGAACGCUGGCGGCGUGCCUAAUACAUGCAAGUCGAGCGAACAGAUAAGGAGCUUGCUCCUUUGACGUUAGCGGCGGACGGGUGAGUAACACGUGGGUAGCCUGCCUAUAAGACUGGAAUAACUCCGGGAAACCGGGGCUAAUGCCGGAUAACAUUUAGAACCGCAUGGUUCUAAAGUGAAAGAUGGUUUUGCUAUCACUUAUAGAUGGACCCGCGCCGUAUUAGCUAGUUGGUAAGGUAACGGCUUACCAAGGCAACGAUACGUAGCCGACCUGAGAGGGUGAUCGGCCACACUGGAACUGAGACACGGUCCAGACUCCUACGGGAGGCAGCAGUAGGGAAUCUUCCGCAAUGGGCGAAAGCCUGACGGAGCAACGCCGCGUGAGUGAUGAAGGUCUUCGGAUCGUAAAACUCUGUUAUUAGGGAAGAACAAAUGUGUAAGUAACUGUGCACGUCUUGACGGUACCUAAUCAGAAAGCCACGGCUAACUACGUG